rnacentral:ncRNA from 1 species
UGUGGUGGAUUCGAAAGUUAGAGGUUCGAAGGCGAUCAGAUACCGCCCUAGUUCUAACGGUAAACUAUGCCAACCAGCGAUUCGCCGAAGUUCAUUUAAGACUCGGCGAGCAGCUUCCGGGAAACCAAAGUGUUUCGGUUCCGGGGGAAGUAUGGUUGCAAAGCUGAAACUUAAAGGAAUUGACGGAAGGGCACCACCAGGAGUGGAGCCUGCGGCUUAAUUUGACUCAACACGGGAAAACUCACCCGGCCCGGACACUGGAAGGAUUGACAGAUUGACAGCUCUUUCUUGAUUCAGUGGGUAGUGGUGCAUGGCCGUUCUUAGUUGGUGGAGCGAUUUGUCUGGUUAAUUCCGAUAACGAACGAGACUCUACCCUAUUAAAUAGUGACAGUAUUGUAUUUUUUGUGCUGAUCACUUCUUAGAGGGACUGGCAAAUUGAAAGCUGCACGAAAAAGAGCAAUAACAGGUCUGUGAUGCCCUUCGAUGUCCGGGGCUGCACGCGCGCUACAAUGAAAGCGUCAACGUGAGUUACGUCCUUACCUGAAAAGGUUUGGCAAUCGAAUGAAACGUUUUCUUGAAUGGAAUAGGGAAUUGCAAUUGUUUCCCUUGAACGAGGAAUUCCCAGUAAGCGUGAGUCAUUAGCUCGCGUUGAUUACGUCCCUGCCCUUUGUACACACCGCCCGUCGCUACUACCGAUUGGAUGAUUUAGUGAGGUGUUUUGACUGGCGCCAGUAGUCGGAUAUGUAUUCGGCUUCGCGCCGGGAAAUUUCCCAAACCAAUCAUCUAGAGGAAGUAAAAGUCGUACCAAGUUCCGUAGUGAACCUGCGGAAGGAUCAUUU